rnacentral:rRNA from 1 species
CGCUCGCAGUUGCCAGCAUCUCCGUAAGGAGGAUGGGAACUCUGUGAGGACUGCCGCCGCUAAGGUGGAGGAAGAAGCGGGCCACGGUAGGUCAGUAUGCCCCGAAUCCUCCGGGCUACACGCGUGCUACAAUGGAUAGUACAAUGAGUAUCGACCCCGAAAGGGGAAGGUAAACCCCUAAAACUAUCCUUAGUUGGGAUCGAGGGCUGCAACUCGCCCUCGUGAACCUGGAAUCCGUAGUAAUCGCAUCUCAAAAUGGUGCGGUGAAUAUGUCCCUGCUCCUUGCACACACCGCCCGUCAAGCCAGCCGAGUGGGAU